CAUUAAGUCAGGGGUGAAAGUUUGCGGCUCAACCGUAAAAUUGCCCUUGAUACUGGUGGUCUUGAGUUAUAGUGAAGUGGCUAGAAUAUGUAGUGUAGCGGUGAAAUGCAUAGAUAUUACAUAGAAUACCGAUUGCGAAGGCAGGUCACUAACUAUACACUGACGCUGAUGGACGAAAGCGUGGGGAGCGAACAGGAUUAGAUACCCUGGUAGUCCACGCCGUAAACGAUGGAUACUAGCUGUUCGGGCGCAAGCCUGAGCGGCCAAGCGAAAGUGAUAAGUAUCCCACCUGGGGAGUACGUUCGCAAGAAUGAAACUCAAAGGAAUUGACGGGGGCCCGCACAAGCGGUGGAGCAUGUGGUUUAAUUCGAUGAUACGCGAGGAACCUUACCAGGGCUUAAAUGUAGUCUGACAGCUUUAGAGAUAGAGUUUUCUUCGGACAGAUUACAAGGUGCUGCAUGGUUGUCGUCAGCUCGUGCCGUGAGGUGUCAGGUUAAGUCCUAUAACGAGCGCAACCCCUGCCGUUAGUUGCCAGCAUGUUAUGAUGGGGACUCUAACGGGACUGCCGGUGCAAACCGCGAGGAAGGUGGGGAUGACGUCAAAUCAUCACGGCCCUUACGUCCUGGGCCACACACGUGCUACAAUGGCCGGUACAGAGAGCAGCCACGUCGCAAGGCGGAGCGAAUCUAUAAAACCGGUCACAGUUCGGAUCGGGGUCUGCAACUCGACCCCGUGAAGCUGGAAUCGCUAGUAAUCGGAUAUCAGCCAUGAUCCGGUGAAUACGUUCCCGGGCCUUGUACACACCGCCCGUCAAGCCAUGGAAGCUGGGAGUGCCUGAAGUCCGUCACCGUAAGGAGCGGCCUAGGGCAAGAUCGGUAACUAGGGCUAAGUCGUAACAAGGUAGCCGUACCGGAAGGUGCGGCUGGAACACCUCCUUUCU
rnacentral:rRNA from 1 species